GCCGACGUCCCAUCCUGUGCCUUUCCAUGGUGGGAGACCACCGCGGGAUGGACCUGUGCCCCUGACCAAGCCUGAAUUAUAAGAUAAUUCUUUUGCUUCUAAAGGCUUCUUUCUAAGGCAGAAGAGUAGACACAGGUUCUGAAGAUUCUGAUCCCAGAGUUCUGGCUUUCCCCUCCCUUUGUGGCCCCCAGUUCCACCAGCAAAGCAUGGGGUGCUUUCCGGCCACCCUGCAAGCUGGGCUCCCAGGUAAGUCAUCCACGACCUCUCGUCCAGGUUUGCUGGCUCAUGGAUUUUUCUCUACGCUGAUUUUAUCACUUCAUAUAAAAUUGGACCUUGGUUGUUUUUAGCCAAUGCAGUAGUAAUAUUUUUUUUAAAGUAGACUCAUGAGAGUGUUCCCCAGCUGGGGCAUGAGUAAUCCAUCCCUAAGCUGCUCCAAGUAACAAUCCUGUUAGUGGACCAGAAAGCUGCUUUCUCUCAGACCAUUGAUUUCAAAGCUGGAAAACAGCAGGCACUGUGUUGGGAGUAAGCAAUGUGGAGUCAUCUCUUCCCCCAGAGAAACGCUGACAAGUAUUAGCUCACAGACAUGUGUGCACAAAGAUGGAUGCUCACAGUUGUCCGUUGGAGCACUGUUUGAAGCAGCAAAAGGAACCAAUUCAACUUUCCCUGAGUAGGAAAAUGGCUAAAUAAAUGGACCUUCAAGAGGUGAUUGGGUCAUGAGAGUUCUGCACUCGUGAAUGGAUUAAUGUCAACAUCAUCAAGAAGCCCCUUGCCAGAAGCAAGCCUCAUGACUUAGGACUUUCCAGCCUCCAGAAUUGUAAGAAAUAGAUUUCUGUACUUCAUAUAAAAAAGUAUGAUGUGAUUGAUGCUU
rnacentral:lncRNA from 10 species